GUGCUCACUUCAGUAGCACAUAUAAUAAAAUAGGAAUGAUACAGAGAGGAUUAGUAUAGCCCCUGUGCAAGGAUGACACACAAAUUAGUGAAGCGUUCCAUGUUUUA
rnacentral:snRNA from 1 species